rnacentral:ribozyme from 1 species
UAAAAUUUAAAAGAGUCAAAAGAAAAAGGAGACUAUUGAAAUCGGUAACGUUUUGCUAUAACACUCGAAAAAGUCUUGGUUUAACUAUUGAAGUUCGCUUGUCUUUUUUUCUCUUUUCCCUUUUUUUACCAAAAAAAAGCAUGCUGUAAGCUGACCAAGACUUUGUUGUACGCAAAAAAAAAAAAAAAAAAAUUAAUGUCGUGUAAAAUAAAUGUAUUUUUAAAUUCAUUUUUUUUUCCCUUUUUUUUUUUAGUAAAAUUUUACUAGAAAAAAAAAAAGAAAAAAAGAAAAAAAAUGUGAAUUUAUCUUUU